GGUGAAGCAGGAGCCAGGGAGAGAGUGUGCAACGCCCAUGCCACAAACAGACAGACACACAGAGACUAAGGGAGGAGGAGAAAACACAGAGAAACAGAAGAAGAAAAAUGAGUUCCCUUUUCACUUCCCUUCCUUGCCCUGUUUGUAUAUUGGAUCACAGAGGGAUGUGUACAGUUCCAGAUUUUAACCUGGGCAUGUGUGUGACCCUUACAAAAGACAAGGAUGUCCUCCUGGCACUCGUCAGCAGUGAAGUGACUCGGCAGUAUGUGUGUGUGUGAGAUGUAUCCACCACAGAAUGAGAAGAAACAGCUGGGCAGGUGGCUCAUGUGGAACACCAAGGCGAAAAUCUUCAAUUGAACAAGGAUGUCAGGCCCAGACACUUAACGGCUGACGCAACAGAGGCAACUGCCACUGGCAAAACAUCACAAGACAGGCAGAUUUCAGCGUGGCACAAUGAAGUGAAGUAAAAAAGGAAGCGCUAUAAAGAAAAGGUCAUGAUUUUUGGAGGCUGAAAAACAUUUUUGCAGGUUCUGAUCAAAAUUGCACCCAAGAGAGAGACAGAGAAAGUGAGAGGGAAUGAUUGUGUUUGCGUCAGAGAGAGUGAGAGCAGCAAGAGGAACAUUAGACUUGUCAUCUUCUGUCAUCUGCCAUUAUCCAACAAAUCACAAACUAUUAGUGUUCUUCUUGUCUUUUUUUUUUUUUUUUUUUAGCCAAGUAGGAAUAACAUAAUAUGCCCAGUAGAUGGCUCUGACCCCUGGGGAAUCCAGUUAUGGUUUAUGUGCAAGUCAUAAAGUGCUUUUAGUUGAGGAAAGGCAUCUGGA